UGGAAGCACCCUUAUCCAGCUAAGCCCAUGGAAAUUGUGUCUAAAUCUAACCGUUUCUUUCCAUUUCUCCCAACUUCACAUUACCAGAAGUAUGCAGUGCCUUUCGAAUGACAUUUAUCCAAGGUUAUGAUAACAAACAACUGUCCCUCCAGUGAUGCAUUUGUUCCGCACCUCCCAGCCCAAGGCCCUGCUCUUGCUUUUCUUUCAAAUCUCAUUUAGUCUCAGUCAUCUCGGCCAGAAAGUUCCUGCUUCAGAGCAGAAGAUCUUCAGCAAGAACUACAAAGAAGAAAAGAUUCUGGAGAAUCAAUCAAGUUUCCUGUCAAGUUCCAGUAACGUUUCUGUCUUAACUGCACACAGGAAAGAUGAAACACAUUCUCAAUCUGUAUGAAAACAUCAACAGUACAGCAAGAAAUAACUCAGACUGUCCUGCUGUGAUUUUGCCAGAAGAGAUAUUUUUCACAGUAUCCAUUGUUGGGGUUUUGGAGAACCUGAUGGUCCUUCUGGCUGUGGCCAAGAAUAAGAGUCUUCAGUCGCCCAUGUACUUUUUCAUCUGCAGCUUGGCUAUUUCCGAUAUGCUGGGGAGCCUGUACAAGAUUUUGGAAAACGUUCUGAUCAUGUUCAAAAACAUGGGUUACCUCGAGCCUCGAGGCAGUUUUGAAAGCACAGCAGAUGAUGUGGUGGACUCCCUGUUCAUCCUCUCCCUUCUCGGCUCCAUCUGCAGCCUGUCUGUGAUCGCCGCUGACCGCUAUAUCACAAUCUUCCACGCUCUGCAGUACCACCGCAUCAUGACCCCGCACCGUGCCCUCGUCAUCCUGACGGUCCUCUGGGCAGGCUGCACAGGCAGUGGCAUUACCAUCGUGACCUUCUCCCAUCACGUCCCCACAGUGAUCGCCUUCACAGCGCUGUUCCCGCUGAUGCUGGCCUUCAUCCUGUGCCUCUACGUGCACAUGUUCCUGCUGGCCCGCUCCCACACCAGGAGGACCCCCUCCCUUCCCAAAGCCAACAUGAGAGGGGCCGUCACACUGACUGUCCUGCUCGGGGUCUUCAUUUUCUGUUGGGCACCCUUUGUCCUUCAUGUCCUCUUGAUGACAUUCUGCCCAGCUGACCCCUACUGUGCCUGCUACAUGUCCCUCUUCCAGGAAUAA
rnacentral:lncRNA from 1 species